GCCGAAGUGGUGGAAUUGGUAGACGCGCACGCUUGAGGGGCGUGUGGGGAGACCCGUGUCGGUUCGACUCCGACCUUCGGCACCA
rnacentral:tRNA from 1 species